rnacentral:rRNA from 1 species
UGAAUACGAGACGCUACGGCGUUGAAGCAGUCUAGUCAUACUUCCAAGAAAAGCUCGCAAUGUCAUAAACAAAUAAUGCCUGUACCAUAACCGACACAGGUGGGAAGGUAGAGUAUACUAAGGGGCGCGAGAUAACUCUCUCUAAGGAACUCGGCAAAAUGACUCCGUAACUUCGGGAGAAGGAGUGCCUUAUUUAUAAGGUUGCAAUAACAAGAUCCAAGCAACAGUUUAUCAAAAACACAGGUCUCCGCUAAGUCGUAAGACGAUGUAUGGGGGCUGACGCCUGCCCAGUGCCAGAAGGUUAAAGAAGUUGGUUAGCAUUCGCGAAGCUGAUAACUGAAGCCCUGGUGAACGGCGGCCGUAACUAUAACGGUCCUAAGGUAGCGAAAUUCCUUGUCGGGUAAGUUCCGACCCGCACGAAAGGCGUAAUGAUUUGGAUACUGUCUCGGAGAGGGGCUCGGUGAAAUAGACUUGUCUGUGAAGAUGCGGACUACCUGCACCUGGACAGAAAGACCCUAUGAAGCUUUACUGUAACUUGAAAUUGAAGUUGGACUUUAUUUGCGCAGUAUAGGUGGGAGGCGUUGAGAGUAUUCUUGCGGGAAUAUUGGAGCCAUCAGUGAGAUACCACUCUUGUAAUGUUAGAUUUCUAACUUUGUAUCAUUAUCUGGUCAAAGAACAGUUUCAGGCGGGCAGUUUGACUGGGGCGGUCGCCUCCCAAGCGGUAACGGAGGCGUACAAAGGUUUCCUCUGAACGGGUAGAAAUCGUAUCUAGAGUGUAAAGGCAUAAGGAAGCUUGACUGUGAGACCUACAAGUCGAGCAGGGACGAAAGUCGGUCUUAGUGAUCUGACGGUGCUGAGUGGAAAGGCCGUCACUCAACGGAUAAAAGUUACUCUAGGAUAACAGGCUGAUCUCCCCCAAGAGUUCACAUCGACGGGGAGGUUUGGCACCUCGAUGUCGGCUCAUCGCAUCCUGGGGCGGUAGUACGUCCCAAGGGUUGGGCUGUUCGCCCAUGAAAGCGGUACGCGAGCUGGGUUCAGAACGUCGUGAGACAGUUCGGUCCAUAUCCGGUGUAGGCGUUAGAAUAUUGAGAGGAGCCUUCUUUAGUACGAGAGGACCGAGAAGGACAUACCUCUGGUGUACCAGUUAUCGUGCCAACGGUAAACGCUGGGUAGCUAUGUAUGGAGAGGAUAACCGCUGAAAGCAUCUAAGUGGGAAGCCCACCUCAAGAUAAG